rnacentral:pre_miRNA from 7 species
UUCUUGGCUCCUCCAAGGGCUUGGGUUGUAAGACCCCCUUUCUGGGACCCCUACUCUAGUCUCGGGAGUGUGAGAGCACCCAAAGAAACAUGAGGACCC